UCCCAGUUAGUACAACGGUUAGUAUAUGACGCUCUCAUCGCCUCCUCCAAGGAGUUGAUCCGUCAAGACCCGGGUUCGACUCCCGGAUUGGGAA